UACAGAGGGUGCAAGCGUUAAUCGGAUUUACUGGGCGUAAAGCGCGCGUAGGUGGCUAAUUAAGUCAAAUGUGAAAUCCCCGAGCUUAACUUGGGAAUUGCAUUCGAUACUGGUUGGCUAGAGUAUGGGAGAGGAUGGUAGAAUUCCAGGUGUAGCGGUGAAAUGCGUAGAGAUCUGGAGGAAUACCGAUGGCGAAGGCAGCCAUCUGGCCUAAUACUGACACUGAGGUGCGAAAGCAUGGGGAGCAAACAGG
rnacentral:rRNA from 1 species